AGGCAAUUGACGUUUCAUACUAGGGCGAGGGGUGUUGAAACGCAUGGAAAAGCAGGAAGAAACACGGACGAGCGCUGAUGAACUGCAACUGUGUGCGUGCAACAGCACCAAACGGCAUGUGGCGACGUACAGUGUAUGGAUGUGUGUGUGUUAUUUUAGGCAGCGAAGAUGGAUCGAGGUUAUGUUUACAAAGUGAAAGAGUUUGAUGCAGAAGCGUCUUCGUGAUAAACAUGUAUUUUAGUUGCAUAAUUUCAGUGUUAAAGUUUGUAAUGUGAACUUAAAAGUAAUGACCAUAGGUGCUAUUCACUUGUGUGCUGUUGGCGAAUAUUGAAGCGUUGAAAUAUUUAAGCUUCAUAUGUUUGUUUGUUGUGCUUAGUGUGAAGCAAAAAUGUGUGCUAAAGUGUUAUAAAUUAGAAAUAUGUAUACGUAUCCGUCUAAUGUUCGGUUGUACCUAUCUAAUUUUCCAUAUUUUUGGGUGUCCUUAUCCUUUACCAGGAGAAAACUAUAGAUGGAGGUUAGAUACGUGCAGCUAUUUGCCUCCGCAGGAAGAUAUGUUAAUUAAAGUUGUUGUAUUUGUAAUUUUUCAUUACGCUGCAAUUAAAUAACUUAUCGUAUAAAAUUUGCCGUUUAACAUUAUGAAUAAUCGAUGUUAUCAGUGUUCUUCAGAAGUGUUCCAAGCUGUCCGAAGACACACAAAUCCGCAAUCCACAAUCCAAGCACACAAAUCCGAUUCACCUCGUAUGCACCCAGCGGAUUUCAUGCGAAGGAUAUUGGAAAGCCAUCAAAGAAGUGGGCAUGAUGGUAAGGAAACUUUGAUUCUUUUUACUUUUAGAUUUCUUAUCCUUAUUUUUGUUUACAACAACCUGAGAUCGUCGGUGCGGGCCUUAUGGGAACUGCGCGGUCAGAGCAAUAACCGGAUGAGCAUUUCGUUUCAGGUGGAAAUUAUAUCAAGUUUGUGAAUUGAGGAGAGUUACGGCACAUUGUGCCACACUAAAUAAAUUUAUUUUUAUUUCUUCCUUCUAUGGCAGCUUGUUUUAACAUUUCCCUGUAUGUUUACUCUUGCCGGUGCUUGUGUCAGUUUUCAUUUUAAAUAUUCUUUAUCAUAUUCUUUAUCUAUGUCUAUUCCCACGUGGUUUGUGGCGAUAGACUUAAAUAAGCACUGUAUUUGGGUAGUUACUAAAAGCUAUUUUUUCCUGACGAUCCUUCCCAGCUACACCGUGCAAGAAAAGUCCCAUCAAACAACACGUCUAAAGCCUCAUGCAUCCUGUUGUUGGCAUCCUGGCGGCUGAUAUCUGCAUCUAUUAUUUAAGUAUAACUGCAAAAUGCAAAAUCAUCUCCAGCUAUUUUUGCUUCAAAUGCAUCAAACUUUUGUUCAUUUUCGAUUUUUUCUAUUGCUAAACUCUGCGCAUUUCUUCUCAUACCCUUCAUAGGAUUCAGUAUUGUGGACUGCUAAUUUAAAAUAACCAUAAUCUGUGCGCUGCGUGCAUCUAUUUUCAUUAACAGCAUCCGACAACGAAGGCAGCAGCUUCCAGAAUGCUCUGUAGAAGUAAUUGAAAGGACUGCUUGAUUUGCUCCUGCUGCAGCCUGGUGUUCAUAGUCGGUGAUCAUCAUUAUUGGUGAUGAAGGCAGCACAGGCAAAUUUAUCACAACAGGACCAGUUGCUCGUUCAGUCGUUAUGUACGAUGUACCGGUGCUUGUCGAUGGCACUUGGUUACCACCAUCAACUAUCUUGCCUGGCGGACGGAUCUGGCUAGGAAAACAGGUAAAAAAUUGCUCAGAUAUAGCAGUACUCGUUGAUGGUUUUUGAACAUUAACGCUGAUCAUUUUGGGUGGUGUACAGCUCACAAUACAAACAGAUCCUCUAGCAGCCGCUAUCACCGAUGCAGAAGCACUGGUGGGUAAUUGUUGUCUUACAACAGCGGACAUCAUACCACGCUGAUUCUUCGGAGCAUGAACUUCGACAAGCGAUGCAAUCGAUGGUACUGCAGAUCCCGCCAAUGCCUGUUGUCUACCGAUCUUCAUGCCUGAUUCCUGCGGUAGAGCAUCAGCAACCGGUACCACUGAUGGACGGAACGGACGGAACGGACGGAAUGGUACAGGAACACCAGGUAAUGUUGACCGAUGAUGAUUACCAUCACCGGCAUUCGAGACCAGCGCUGACACUUCAUCCGUUACCUUCACCUGUUCAACAACACGGACUGGCAUUCUUUGUUGACUCGCGCUGAACGGCCACUGAAACCACCGAAGGCACUGCACUUGUUGUCGGAAGUUGUCCAACAACACGCACCGGCAAUCCGGGAGGACGGAUAGCACGAGGAAUGGCAACCGGAACCACCGAUGGCACUGCAUUUGUCGUCGGAAGUUGUCCAACAACACGGACUGGUACAUCUGACUGACGAAGCUACUUAUCACAUACCCGCAUUUUAUGUCCCCAUUCUUGGUGUUUCCGGGUUACUCGCCAUCGCGCUGUAGUCGGAUCAUACUGCACCUGUCCUGCUUCGAUUAAUGUCUCCCCAAAGACAAAAUUAGAGCACGCGUUCCUAUUCCUCAUCCUCCGGCACCGUCUGGAGAAUGUGGGAGUCACUGCUCUAUAAAAACCACCGGACUACCACAAACUGGAAACAGCGGAAAACCCCGUGGGUCACCGGCCACCGUGCUAAAUUGAAGCAAAGUUGAACUAAUAUGCCGUGCGAAAAAGCAAAAUAAAUUUUUCAUUUUAAUGUUUAUUAAGCUACACCGACAUUAUAUUUUUCAUCUAAAACGUUUUUGAUGUGUUUUUUCUCAUUGCGUUUAGGCGUCGUGUAUCAGAUCGCAACUGCUAAUAAUUUCGUCGUCUGAGACGGACUGUUAUGGAGGUACAAAAUCUUCAGUGAUGCGUUCACGCAUCUACGAGCCGGUAAUUGGCGGUAUCCAGAUCAUCGUCGUACUGUUAGCUUACCUAAGCUACCGAAAUUAGCGACAGUGUAAAAUCUGUGCUGUGAGACCUACAGUUGCCUCUCACAACCGUCCGGAAGUCGCAGUGAUUUGGUAACAUCAAGUGCAUCACCACCGCACGAAGCGCAGCAUAUUGACGCAAGCCCAAGCGGACAGCAACCAACUGCAGCAAACGUACGCCGAACGAAUGGUCGUGGUAGACGCGUUAGGAUUGCAAGGCGAUACUUGCGCUCUGAAACAGAUGUUUGGACCACAGAGGUGACGUUCCGAGAUUGUAAAAACAUGUCGGGCCCACAGUUUCAGAUAAGCCGUUCUCAUCAAUGCCAUACCAUGUACGGUCGGCUAGUUACACUUCAUCACGAAGGACAAUCACAUCUGGGUCACGGAAUGCUGCCAAAACGAUGAAGCUGGUUUAGUCCUCGAUGACGACGCAACUCCUGCACGUUCGUCGUCAUACUAUCAUUUCAACUGGAGGCAUGUUUGUUUAGGCGGCUACAACAAAUUGUUUGAACAUGUUCAAAACAACAUGGCUUCUCACAAUUACUGGUGAAUGCUGGAAAUCUCCGUGAUAGCCAUUUUCGUGCGCUGAAUUAGGUUUGUAUGAAAAAUAGUGUAUUUUUAGAAUAUUUAAUUAUCAAUAAAAUAACGGUCGAUUUGAAAA